rnacentral:rRNA from 1 species
AAUCAACGCUGGCGGCGUGCCUAACACAUGCAAGUCGAACGAGAAAGUGGAGCAAUCCAUGAGUAAAGUGGCGACCGGGUGAGUAACACGUGACUAACCUACCUCCGAGUGGGGAAUAACUCCGGGAAACCGGGGCUAAUACCGCAUAACAUCGCAAGAUCAAAGCAGCAAUGCGCUUGGAGAGGGGGUCGCGGCUGAUUAGCUAGUUGGCGGGGUAACGGCCCACCAAGGCGAAGAUCGGUAUCCGGCCUGAGAGGGCGCACGGACACACUGGAACUGAAACACGGUCCAGACUCCUACGGGAGGCAGCAGUGGGGAAUUUUGCGCAAUGGGGGAAACCCUGACGCAGCAACGCCGCGUGGAGGAUGAAGUCCCUUGGGACGUAAACUCCUUUCGACCAAGACGAUAAU